CAAGCAGGGUCCUCUAGAGCAUGUUUCCUAGGAUCGCAUCCAGAUGGGUUUUGAAUAUCUCCAGGGAAGGAGACUCCACUACCUCUCUGGGCAACCUGUGCCAGUGCUCAGUCACCCUCACAGGAAAGAAGUUUUUCCUCAUGUUUAGCUGGAGCUUCCUGUGGUUCAGUUUGUGCCCGUUGCCUACCAAAAAAGUAGUAAGCAAGGAUUGAAGUUGCUUAUUUUAGAGUGGAGAAUUUAGAAAAUGUAUGCAAUUUAAUUCCUGAAGUAAAUGUUUGCUUAUAUUGUGAUCACUUUGGAUUUCAAACUUUAGGCUCUAAUCCUGCAAAAGCAAGCAUAUAAAAUCAUGACAUUAGAAGAUCUGGGGAAUCUGCUGCUUAUAGCUCUGAACAAACCCUGGAAAUUCAGCUAAGGAAAGUCUGUUUGGUAAUUCUCUUCUAGAGCUGGAGCAUCCCUGAAGAGCCAGAUUAGCUUAUCUGGAUGUUAUCUAGAAGAAAGGAGACUCGUUCCAGGCCCCGCCAGGGUGACUGUUUUUACAUUAGAUUAUCGUCUAAAAAGUGGAAAUAUAACGGAGCUGAGAUAAGGAACCAUCUGAUCUUCUGCCCCUGCGUGAGAAUUGCGAGAGGCCACAUCAUCACAUUCCCUCUUGCUUGCAUUCCUUCUGGGUCCACUGACCUUGCUCGAUCUGUCAAUCGCACAAAUGCACAGCUGCAGUGGCUUCCUGGCUGGAUUAUGUCUCCUGUACCAUACCACCAUCUUCACACAAUUCCCAUGGUGUGUUGUGGUGCCAGAAGGAAGGCUGCAGAGGUGACCAGCCCUUUUCCUAAAAUCUGCCUGUGACGGAUCUAACAACGCAGUCUGGGCUCCGUGCCAAAGGCUGGUAUUUCACAGCAGCGACCGCCUUACAGAUGAGCUGUGGGAAGCAGGAGGGAGACUCUCUUAGGGUGCCACUACUAUGGAGACACAGCUGGGCUGAACAAGAUUUGCUUCAAACGACAACAAGAGAGACAGAAAGUGUCUGGUUCGACCGCUGCCCAAGCAGGCAGUAACCAGAAGAGCUAGCAGCCAAUCCGGCCAUGCUGCACUGUUCGAAACCAGCUCUACAUCCCAGCCAAUCAGUGACAUCACUGGUGAGAAACUCAUUUACAUCAUGCAGUAAUGAACUUUGUUUAACGUAUCCUUUUUUCUUUUCUUUUUUUUUUUUUUUCCUCACAGAGAUUAGGUCCUCCAUUAAUUAUUCUGCCAGCGUAAUUUGAAUCGCUAUGCAAAACGAUGGCUACAUUUUUCCUGAUUUUUUUUUAACUGUGUGCUGUCUCUGCAGGUAACCAUGGGCAUUGUUCCAUUUUUUUUCUUUUG
rnacentral:lncRNA from 1 species